rnacentral:rRNA from 1 species
GUGUCAGCAGCCGCGGUAACACGUAGGAGACGAGCGUUAUCCGGAUUUACUGGGUGUAAAGCGCGUGCAGGCGGUCUGGUAAGUUGGAUGUGAAAGCUCCUGGCUUAACUGGGAGAGGUCGUUCAAAACUGCCGGGCUAGAGUGCAACAGAGGGGAGUGGAAUUCCGAGUGUAGCGGUAAAAUGCAUAGAUAUUCGGAAGAACACCAGUGGCGAAGGCGGCUCUCUGGGUUGCAACUGACGCUCAGACGCGAAAGCUAGGGUAGCGAACGGGAUUAGAGACCCCGGUAGUCCUAGCCGUAAACGAUGUGGACUUGGCGUGGGUGGGUUGAAAUCCAUCUGUGCCGAAGCAAACGCGAUAAGUCCACCACCUGGGGACUACGGCCGCAAGGUUAAA